UACGGAGGGUGCAAGCGUUAAUCGGAAUUACUGGGCGUAAAGCGCGCGUAGGUGGUUCGUUAAGUUGGAUGUGAAAUCCCCGGGCUCAACCUGGGAACUGCAUUCAAAACUGUCGAGCUAGAGUAUGGUAGAGGGUGGUGGAAUUUCCUGUGUAGCGGUGAAAUGCGUAGAUAUAGGAAGGAACACCAGUGGCGAAGGCGACCGCCUGGACUGAGACCGACACUGAGGCACGAAAGUGUGGAGAGCAAACAGG
rnacentral:rRNA from 1 species